AUCAACUUUCGAUGGUAGGAUAGAGGCCUACCAUGGUGGUAACGGGUAACGGGGUGUUAGGGCACGACACCGGAGAGGGAGCCUGAGAAACGGCUACCACAUCCAAGGAUGGCAGCAGGCGCGCAAAUUACCCAAUCCCGACACGGGGAGGUAGUGACAAUAAAUAACAAUACGGGGUUCUUUCGGAUUUCGUAAUUGGAAUGAGUACAAUUUAAAUCUCUUAACGAGGAACAAUUGGAGGGCAAGUCUGGUGCCAGCAGCCGCGGUAAUUCCAGCUCCAAUAGCGUAUAUUAAAGUUGCUGCAGUUAAAAAGCUCGUAGUUGAAUUUCGGGACCAAUAUGUCGGUCGUGCCUCGGUACGUACUGGCAUCGUUGGUUUCUCCCUUCUGACGAACCAUGAUGUCAUUUAUUUGGUGUCGUGGGGAAUCAGGACUGUUACUUUGAAAAAAUUAGAGUGUUUAAAGCAGGCUCACGCUUGAAUACAUUAGCAUGGAAUAAUGAAAUAGGACGUUUGAUUCUAUUUUGUUGGUUUCUAAGAUUGACGUAAUGAUUAAUAGGGAUAGUUGGGGGCAUUAGUAUUCAAUUGUCAGAGGUGAAAUUCUUGGAUUUAUUGAAGACUAACUACUGCGAAAGCAUUUGCCAAGGAUGUUUUCAUUAAUCAAGAACGAAAGUUAGGGGAUCGAAGACGAUCAGAUACCGUCGUAGUCUUAACCAUAAACUAUGCCGGCUAGGGAUCGGAUGAUGUUAAUUUUUUAAUGACUCAUUCGGCGCCUUACGGGAAACCAAAGUGUUUGGGUUC
rnacentral:rRNA from 1 species